UGUUAGCCUUAACAAAAAUUUCAUAUACACUAUGUUUUCUUCCUCCCCUAGGCUACAGAUUUGCUGGCAUGCCACACCAAACUUGUUGAGCCAUCACUCACUUCCAAACAGACUUUGAAUGGAGACCUUGUGAAAAAACUGUUUCAUCAGAAGUCAAUUUAUGUCAGACCUGACAAGGUCAUUUAAUGUGAGGACAAUGAAUCAACAUAUUCUGAUGGAGAAAGUAGCCAUACAAGCAGGCAGGAUUUCACAGAAACUUUGAAUUCUGACAAAUGUGUUGAAAUUUCUAAAGAUGUUACCUCAGCCAUUCCCAUUGUUAACACACAGUCCAUGUCUGUUGAUGAUGAGUUCAUCUGUAAAUAUCUUGGCCUGUUUGAGGAAGAAUACCUGUGAGAUGACCCCGAGCUCCAAGAAGCCAUUUCAAGGUCUUUAGACUCAAGUGCAAGUGAAAGGUCAGUACAACACAAACUUUUACUUGUCAUGUUGAAA